rnacentral:rRNA from 1 species
AUUGAACGCUGGCGGCAUGCCUUACACAUGCAAGUCGAACGGCAGCAUGAUCUAGCUUGCUAGAUUGAUGGCGAGUGGCGAACGGGUGAGUAAUACAUCGGAACGUGCCCUGUAGUGGGGGAUAACUAGUCGAAAGAUUAGCUAAUACCGCAUACGACCUGAGGGUGAAAGUGGGGGACCGCAAGGCCUCAUGCUAUAGGAGCGGCCGAUGUCUGAUUAGCUAGUUGGUGAGGUAAAGGCUCACCAAGGCGACGAUCAGUAGCUGGUCUGAGAGGACGAUCAGCCACACUGGGACUGAGACACGGCCCAGACUCCUACGGGAGGCAGCAGUGGGGAAUUUUGGACAAUGGGCGAAAGCCUGAUCCAGCAAUGCCGCGUGUGUGAAGAAGGCCUUCGGGUUGUAAAGCACUUUUGUCCGGAAAGAAAUGGCUCUGGUUAAUACCUGGGGUCAAUGACGGUACCGGAAGAAUAAGGACCGGCUAACUACGUG